AUUGAACGCUGGCGGCAUGCUUUACACAUGCAAGUCGAACGGCAGCGCGGGCUUCGGCCUGGCGGCGAGUGGCGAACGGGUGAGUAAUGCAUCGGAACGUGCCCAGUAGUGGGGGAUAGCCCGGCGAAAGCCGGAUUAAUACCGCAUACGACCUGAGGGUGAAAGCGGGGGACCGAAAGGCCUCGCGCUAUUGGAGCGGCCGAUGUCGGAUUAGCUAGUUGGUGGGGUAAAGGCUUACCAAGGCGACGAUCCGUAGCUGGUCUGAGAGGACGACCGGCCACACUGGGACUGAGACACGGCCCAGACUCCUACGGGAAGCAGCAGUGGGGAAUUUUGGACAAUGGGGGCAACCCUGAUCCAGCCAUGCCGCGUGCGGGAAGAAGGCCUUCGGGUUGUAAACCGCUUUUGUUCGGGAAGAAAUCCUCUGGGCUAAUACCCCGGGGGGAUGACGGUACCGGAAGAAUAAGCACCGGCUAACUACGUG
rnacentral:rRNA from 1 species